rnacentral:lncRNA from 1 species
GACUCUCUGUUUUUCCCAACUUAUUUUUGUUUUAUUGGAGCUUCUCAAAAUCUUUUUUUCUUCCAUUCCAAAUAAUUCAAUAGAGUUACUUACCAUCAUUCUAUCCUUACUAUGUUCUCUGGCAAUUUUACUCAAACCUUUUCUCAUGGGGGAUUGAUCGUGGAACAAAAUCUGAAUUUUUUAGAUUUUGUAGAAGUUCUUUUGAUGAGGUCCAAAUAUUUUAUCCUGGUCCACUUUGUUUUCUUCGGUUCAGCUUUUGGAAUAAGCCCGAGUGCUCCCUACUGUCUCGUCUCGCUGCCAGAUGGCCAUGUGCUGUCAGCUUCUUAAUUUCCUUCUCAUCUAAAAUCGUAUUGUAAUUAAUGUCAAGUUUGAGUUACAUCCGGCUGCGUGGUCGUUUCUGUUUUGAUCUAUACGUGAGAUUAGUCUUUGGCAUUUUCUAUAAAAGGUGUAGCCUACAGUCAUAAUUGCAUCUAAAUCCCAGAAAGCUACGUAAGUCCAUGCCCUAGCCUCUGCCGCCGCAGUUGCCCAGCUAAGCGCCAUCAUCGCCGGCGAAGUUCAAUGGCUGGCCUCCACGUCCACGUUAGGGACAUGUUUGCCGUUGUCUUCUUUUGAGCUGGCCGAGAGCCCACCCCAUCGGCCAUCAUCGCGUGACGCAUUGGCCACUGACCUCAUCUAUCUGUCGUACGAGGACUCCGCUUGUGAAACCCGAUCUCACCACUCUGAGAUGGCAUUCGAGUCCUCCGUUUUCCCACAAACUCCGUCGAACUCUCCGGCGAGCUUUUCCGGCCAUGUUUCUCACCUUCGGGUGAAUUUCGAUUCCAUCCCGAGGUUCGUUUCGUCAUUCCCUACACCAGCACGUCUUUCGUUUUACGUCCGAUUUAAGUGGUUCAAGUUGCGUUAAAUUCGUAUCGAUGUGCUUUAUGCAAUAGUGCCAAUACUUUUCAUGUCACAUUCUUUUAUAUAAAUAGUUGAUUAUUAAAUUAAUUAAUAUGUGUAACUAAUUUUAUAAUUAAAAGCGACGUAGAGUUAUAGUUCCGUGUUUGUUGCUUUGCGAUCAAGGUGACUUAAGCGACAUAUUAGCAACAUUAUUUUCGAUGUCUAAUGUUUAUAAAUAUAAUUAAUUGGAUUAAUGUUUGUUUAAUGUCCUUUCUAAUUAAUUAAAAGUAAUUUAGGUUUAUGUUCGAUCUUUUUAUAAUUACUUGUUGACUUAAAUAUGUAUAUGUAUUUAUUAAAUUCUAGGUUUCCUAGUUGAAGCAUGAUUCAUAUAAAGUCAAUCUAGAUGUAAUAUAAUUAAUAUUUAUUUAAUAUCUUCAAUCAAAAGUGAUCCAGGUAUAUACGCUUGGACUUAAUAAAGAAUAUUAAUAUGAACAAUACCAACAUUAAUGCCCUUUGAAAUAUGAUCUGCUUAGAUAAACCUCAACACAUGAUGAUUCGAUUAGUUGCUCUCAUUUUCUUUAUGCUUCCUAUAUUAUAAAUGCUUAAAUGGCUUGAAUGAUAUAUAAUUACUUAUAAAUAAAAUAUAUUUGGUCAUGAAUUUGUUUAACUUGUUUAAUCCAUAAUAUGAUAAUAUUAUAGAUAAAUGUUGGUUAGUUUUAGCUCAGUUUCUAAACUAGGAUAUAAUUUGUGUAAUCUAAUUUAACAUGCUUUUUAUGGUUUUGCUAAAUCGAAAUAAAUCAAGGAUGUAGGUUUUUCUUUUAUAAAAUAGAAUAAUAAAAUAAUAUAGAACUCCCUAUAGUUGUUUUCUUUUUAACUGUAGACAUGUUGUAGACUUGUUCUCAGUGUUCUCGUGACCGUAGCAGCGAAUUCUCUUUUAGUAUGUUGCUUAACCUUGUCUGGUGUGUUGUUCUUAGUUGUUUCUAUUUGUUGCUUGUAUGUCUGUUGGUGUGCUUGGUUGCUGCGAUCUACGAGUAGACGAGAACCGCUUAUGAGUGCUCAAGAUCAUAUGGUGAUGACUAAAAGCUGAUGAUGUGAGAUUUAUGCAAGUAUUUAAGGCAAGUAUAACUUGGGAUCAUCCUUGUUACCUAUUCACUUAUAAAUACACAUAUAUAUCGUAUGCAUGCUUUCACCUUGUCGACCUUAGCAAAAUCAUAGAUGAUUGUUACCUGGAUUCCUUGCUACCUACUUGAUAUGCAUUUGGUGUAGUUGUGCUAGUGCUUGAUAUAAUCCAUGUUCUUGUAAGAUGAUUAAUAGCUGUGCAAUGAACAUAAAAGAAUGACAAAUAACUGUAUGAGAUCUUGUCUGUACGUGAUCACCCGGGAUAAUAGUGCAACCAUGAGAGCUAUAAUGGCUCUGGCUUUAGCUCAGUAUGAAGCCCUUUUCUAGCUUGUUAGAGGUUACCCGAAAGGGCAGAGGGGCUGAACCAUUUUGGGUAUAGUGCGAGCCCCUGUCCUUAUGUGUAUAGGCUACGCGUCAUUGUGCCAUUUGGAAGGGGGUAUCUAUAUCUGCGCACAAAGGAAACCUUGCGGCCCUAACAUGUUAGACGAACUUUUGAAAGGCUUCAUAGUGAUCCCUGCCGACCUCCCUGGGAAGGGGGUUAAGAGAUUAGCUACCUCGGGCGAAAGGGUAAAUCAUGACUCAUGGGUAAAGAUGUGCAACCUCUACAGAGUGUUAAAACUAGUAUACUAGCCAAGCUCAUAGUCACGAGCGGCCUUGGGGACAUCUACAUUAAGAUGAUGAGCUUAUUAUGUUAUUAUAAUCAUUUGAUUAUCGUUUAUGCUAUGGGUUAAUUAUGCUUACAAUUGAUCAUGUGAUUAAUAGAUUAUUAAUGCUACCUUGACAUUUGCUAUCUAAUGAGGAACAUGCUAUCCACUAUUAAAAGCUAAAUGCAGUCAAACCAGUGUCAGCUAUUUGAGCCUAAUGAACCCCUGGUUAUACUUGUUGAGUACGAUAUGUGCUCACUCUUGCUAUUUCCCACCACUCCAGUUUACUAGUAAGAGUUGAUGAGAAGAGCGAUGGAGUCAUAAAGGAUGUUCUCAGGAUACAAGAAGUGCUAGGCAUAUGUUACCCCAGUCAACCGUCCCUGUGAAGAUUGAGCCUAAAGAUUAGUUAUCAUUCCACGAUACUCUAAUGUAAGUGUCUAUUAUAUGUAUGUUUCUGCUAUAUAACAUUGUUUUCUGAUACUAUUCCUUUCUGUGGUUAUAUGUGUGGACUUCCUGGGCACACAUAUGGCUUGCUUGGUUUUGUUCUUUAAAACGGGGUGUGACAGAUUGGUAUCAGAGUAGUGUUGACUGUAGGAUGUAUGCCUAGGUAGUUCUGGUCGAUUAGAAAAGUCUAAUUUGCUAUUAAACUAUUUUAUUAUCCCUUGACUCUUUGACUUUGAUUAUUUCUCAAUCCUUGUCUCGUUGUAUCCCCUCCUUGCUAGCUUCCUUUGAGCUAUUACUGCUAACUCCUUUGUUUUUUUAUGUAAUGUUAUUAAAAGUUUUCUGAUCCUACCUCAUUCAAAAGUACGAUAGCCUUUCAUCAUCUCUCAUUUGCCCUUUAGGAUGACCACCAUUGUUGAAGAAAUACGUGUAGAAUCGAUGACGUGUUUUGUGCUUGUCUUAUUUGUGUGAUGCCUAUGUGUUGCCUCUGUUCUUGUAUUUCAAAGAAGAUCUAGAAGGAACCAUCCUGAGAAGUAGCUCAAUCUUGUUAAAGUGGGGUAGUGUACCCUCUUGCCCGGUCUAUCCUUUGGUCAACCUAAUUCUUGUCAUCCUUUCCUAUGCACCGUCCAAACCUACUCUUGGUUUUCCUGUCUUUUCUUUAUCUCAUCUCAAUGUGUUGUCUAAAUCAAAAAUCACCAUUGGAACCCUUGAAGAUAGUUUCAACAAGAUGAUGUUCAUACACAUGUUUAUGAAGAUAAGCAAACACUUUGUCAAGUGGGGUAGCGUUCGCUACCGUCAUCUAUCUCAAGUUGAUCUAACGAUCAAUCUUAUCCUUCUUGUAUAUCUUUCUUGUUUAGCAAACUCCAUCUUUUCUAUUAUCAAUCAUUAUCUUAUACUCUAUUUAGUUUUUGUCCCUUAUCAUUUACCUUGUAAUACGAAGACCAAAAGGUCAACUUCACCUUUCUGGUAUACUUUUCUUGUCAUCGAUCUUUGUGUUUCUUGUGACCCACCAGUAUUUUCUAUUUAACCCUUGUCAGUCUACAGGCAUCUUAUCAUCUCUCAUCAUAGAGCUCGAAAUAACUUUGAAGAACCAAUCUUCGUUCUCCUUAUCAACCUUUGCUAAUUUAUAAUCUUUUACCACAAAUCCCAUAAAUCUUUAAUCAAGGAAUUCUGAGCACUAUAAGAUGUAUUUUAUCUUUUAUAUUCUCUCCUCCUAAUCUUCACUCCUUGUCUUUAAAUCUCAUAAUGUGAAGACCCGUGAUCUCUCUUUUCUACCUAUGCUGAUCUUCAAUCCUUUGAUUUCAUGUUACAAUUCCCGAAUGAACCUUGAGAAUAAAUCUUUGACAUCUUUGUCAACCUUUGUUAAUUGUUGAUCCCUAAAUCAUAUGUCAUCAAAAGUCUCAAAACAAUCUUGGUGAUCUACUUUAUCUUUCUUCCUAGUCCCUUCGAACCUCGGGACAAGAUUCCUGUUAAGUGGGGUAGAUUGUCACACCCCAAAAUUUUUGAUUUUGGGUUGUACAUAGAAAGCACUAAUUAAAAUAGAUGUUUUGAUAUUUCGAUAAAAUUUCUAAAGUUAGUUUAAAAUAAUGUCAAUUAGUUAUAUGAAAUAUAUCAUUCUUUAAAUCUUUAUAAAUUUAAUUUGACGGAAUUUUUUUUUCAAUGUGAUGUUUGCUUGUGUUUUGUGUUUUUGAGGACGAUAUGCUUUAAAAACGUGUUUAGUACGUCGUUUAUUUUUCUCUAGCUUGACUCUGUCUAUUUUUCCCAACUUAUUUUUGUUUUAUUGGAGCUUCUCAAAAUCUUUUUUUCUUCCAUUCCAAAUAAUUCAAUAGAGUUACUUACCAUCAUUCUAUCCUUACUAUGUUCUCUGGCAAUUUUACUCAAACCUUUUCUCAUGGGGGAUUGAUCGUGGAACAAAAUCUGAAUUUUUAAGAUUUUGUAGAAGUUCUUUUGAUGAGGUCCAAAUAUUUUAUCCUGGUCCACUUUGUUUUCUUCGGUUCAGCUUUUGGAAUAAGCCCGAGUGCUCCCUACUGUCUCGUCUCGCUGCCAGAUGGCCAUGUGCUGUCAGCUUCUUAAUUUCCUUCUCAUCUAAAAUCGUAUUGUAAUUAAUGUCAAGUUCGAGUUACAUCCGGCUGCGUGAUCGUUUCUGUUUUGAUCUAUACGUGAGAUUAGUCCUUGGCAUUGUCUAUAAAAGGUGUAGCCUGCAGUCAUAAUUGCAUCUAAAUCCCAGAAAGCUACGUAAGUCCAUGCCCUAGCCUCUGCCGCCGCAGUUGCCCAGCUAAGCGCCAUCAUCGCCGGCGAAGGUCAAUGGCUGGCCUCCACGUCCACAUUAGGGACAUGUUUGCCGUUGUCUUCUUUUGGCUGGCCGAGAGGGGGCUGCUACAGUCCAAUUAUUCGGACCGAGAUGAUUCUCGCGCUGGUUUCCCGCUCACGCGUCAGCCCGAGUUGACAUGGAGUCUGCGCCAGUGGAGGUUCCCACUCUUCCUGUGCUUGUCCCUUACUGCAUAUAGAAAACUCCAAAAUAGAUGACAUCAGCACAUGCAAGGUGUUUGUUAAAGUAAAAAAAGUCGUAGCUGCUAAACCAAAUGUUGAAAUUGAAAUCCGAUUACACCAUCGUAUUCCUUGUAAUAAACUCUUCAAAACAAGACCCCACAUGAAUAUAUUUAGAAAACAUUUUAUGUACGGACAUUUAUCUCGUGGUCCAGACAAAUCUCAUGAGAACAUCGUAAAAGAACAUAACUGAACAUUGCAUAUAUACUAUAUGAACAUCAUAAAAUACAUCAUAGAACAUCAUUGUAUACGGCAAGAACAUAAAUGUUCUAGGUUCAUAAAAUAAAUGUUCCGUCUUCGUAAGAAAAAUGUUCUCAGUUUAAAAAAUAGUGUUCUAGUUUAGAUUCAUGAAACUGAUAUUAUAAUAUUUAAAAUAAAUAAAUAAAUACAUCAUGUAAACAAAAAAAAUAAAAUCUAGAGCAAAGCAUAAGGAAAAAAAACACGUAAUAGAGAAAAAUUUAAAAGAACAUCAUAUGGAUAGUUUUAAAACAUCCUAAGAAUAAACUAUAAAACAUCACAUGUGUACUAAACUGAACAUCACUAAAUACACUAUAGAACACUAUUAAAUACAUUAUGGAACAUCGUAUAUAUAUUACGUGAACAUCACUAGAUAUAUCAUAGAACACCACAUGUGUACUAAGCGAACAUCACUAAAUUCACAAUAGAACAUCACUCAACACAUUAUAGAACAUUGUAUGUAUACUAAGUAAACAUCGCUGAAUUAACCAUAAAACAACACUUAAUGUAUUAUAGAACAUCACAUAUGAUGCAAAAAAAAAAGAUUCAUAACAAAGAAAGAUUAAGAAAUAAAACAUAAAUAAAAGAAAACAUAAUAAAAAUUAAAAGAAAAAACAAAAUAAAAAAAUAGAACAUCAGCAUGUGAACAUCAAAGAAAAUAAUAACAAUAAGAAAAAAGAUAAAAUAUAAAAAAAAGGAUAAUAUAAAACAAAAAAUGAAAAUAAAAAUAAAGCACAAAAAAGAUAGAAAAAGAAUCAAAUGGAAUAUAAAAUGAAAAAAGAAAGAAAAAAGGAAAAAAAUUAAAGAAAAGAAACAAAGAAAGAUUAAAAAAUAAAAUAUGAAUAAAAUAAAACAUAAUUAAAAAAAUAAAAGGAAAAACAAAAUCAAAAGAAAAAAUAAAAAAUAGAACGUCAGCACGUAAAUAUCAAAGAAAAAUAAUAAGAAUAAGAAAAAAAGAUAAAGAUAAAGAUACAAAACAAAGAAUAAUAUAAAAUAAAAAAGUAAAAUAAAAAUAAAGCACAAAAAAGCUAAAAAAGAACCAAACGGAAUAUAAAAUGAAAAAAGAGAAAGAAAAAAGAAAAGAAAUUAAAGAAAAAAAUAUAGCAAGAAAAAGAAAAAGAAAAAGAAAAAAGAAAGAAAAAAAUAGAAGAAAACUAACAGCAACGGCGGGAGGGAAAAAGAAAAGAAACAUAAAAAGAAAUAAAAGAAGACGAAAAGAAAAAAAAAAGAAAAAAGAAAAAAGAAAGAAAUAAAAAAGAAAGCGUACCUACCUCACGCGCGCGCGGCAAACCUCGCGUGGACGACGUCUCCGGACGUUCGGACUGGAAGAUUUCCGGGCCGAGAGCCCACCCCAUCGGCCAUCAUCGCGUGAUGCAUUGGCCACUGAUCUUGAUCCGUAGGACUGCCUCGUCUAUCUGUCGUAGGAGGACUCCGCUCGUGAAACCUGAUCUCACCACUCUGAGAUGGCAUUCGAGUCCUCCGUUUUCCCACAAACUCCGUCAAACUCUCCGGCGAGCUUUUCCGGUCAUGUUUCUCACCUUCGGUGAAUUUUGAUUCCAUCCCGGGGUUCGUUUCGUCAUUCUCUUCACCAGCACGUCUUUCGUUUUACGUCCGAUUUAAGUGGUUCAAGUUGCGUUAAAUUCGUAUCGAUGUGCUUUAUGCAAUAGUGCCAAUACUUUUCAUGUCACAUUCUUUUAUAUAAAUAGUUGAUUAUUAAAUUAAUUAAUAUGUGUAACUAAUUUUAUAAUUAAAAGCGACGUAGAGUUAUAGUUCCGUGUUUGUUGCUUUGCGAUCAAGGUGACUUAAGCGACAUAUUAGCAACAUUAUUUUCGAUGUCUAAUUGAAAGAUGUGUUGUUGCAAAAAUUGGUAUCUCACACCAACAAUCUCGGGGGCUCUGAGAGGAAGUCCAGGAGCUGAAGUCCUAGACCUCCUGAACCUUGAGAAUAAAUCUUUGACAUCUUUGUCAACCUUUGUCAAUUGUUGAUCCCUAAAUCAUAUGUCAUCAAAAGUCUCAAAACAAUCUUGGUGAUCUAGUUUAUCUUUCUUCCUAGUCCCUUCGAAUCUCGGGACGAGAUUCCUGUUAAGUGGGGUAGAUUGUCACACCCCAAAAUUUUUGAUUUUGGGUUAUGCAUAGAAAGCACUAAUUAAAAUAGAUGUUUUGAUACUUCGAUAAAAUUUCUAAAGUUAGUUUAAAAUAAUGUCAAUUAGUUAUAUGAAAUAUAUCAUGAUGUUUGCUUGUGUUUUGUGUAUUUGUGGACGAUAUGCUUUAAAAACGUGUUUAGUACGUCGUUUAUUUUUCUCUAGAUUGACUCUCUGUUUUUCCCAACUUAUUUUUGUUUUAUUGGAGCUUCUCAAAAUCUUUUUUUCUUCCAUUCCAAAUAAUUCAAUAGAGUUACUUACCAUCAUUCUAUCCUUACUAUGUUCUCUGGCAAUUUUACUCAAACCUUUUCUCAUGGGGGAUUGAUCGUGGAACAAAAUCUGAAUUUUUUAGAUUUUGUAGAAGUUCUUUUGAUGAGGUCCAAAUAUUUUAUCCUGGUCCACUUUGUUUUCUUCGGUUCAGCUUUUGGAAUAAGCCCGAGUGCUCCCUACUGUCUCGUCUCGCUGCCAGAUGGCCAUGUGCUGUCAGCUUCUUAAUUUCCUUCUCAUCUAAAAUCGUAUUGUAAUUAAUGUCAAGUUUGAGUUACAUCCGGCUGCGUGGUCGUUUCUGUUUUGAUCUAUACGUGAGAUUAGUCUUUGGCAUUUUCUAUAAAAGGUGUAGCCUACAGUCAUAAUUGCAUCUAAAUCCCAGAAAGCUACGUAAGUCCAUGCCCUAGCCUCUGCCGCCGCAGUUGCCCAGCUAAGCGCCAUCAUCGCCGGCGAAGUUCAAUGGCUGGCCUCCACGUCCACGUUAGGGACAUGUUUGCCGUUGUCUUCUUUUGAGCUGGCCGAGAGCCCACCCCAUCGGCCAUCAUCGCGUGACGCAUUGGCCACUGACCUCAUCUAUCUGUCGUACGAGGACUCCGCUUGUGAAACCCGAUCUCACCACUCUGAGAUGGCAUUCGAGUCCUCCGUUUUCCCACAAACUCCGUCGAACUCUCCGGCG